AACGAACGCUGGCGGCGUGCCUAACACAUGCAAGUCGAACGAGAAAGGGGCUUCGGCCCUGAGUAAAGUGGCGCACGGGUGAGUAACGCGUAGGUAACCUGCCUCUAAGAUUGGGAUAACCUGUCGAAAGACGAGCUAAUACCGGAUAAGACCACGGUUUCUUCGGAAACAGGGGUCAAAGGUAGCCUCUGCAUGCAAGCUAUCACUUAGAGAUGGGCCUGCGCACCAUUAGCUAGUUGGUAGGGUAACGGCCUACCAAGGCAAAGAUGGUUAGCUGGUCUGAGAGGAUGAUCAGCCACACUGGAACUGAGACACGGUCCAGACACCUACGGGUGGCAG
rnacentral:rRNA from 1 species